AUAGGAGGGGUGGAACCCAGCAGCGCUGACUGAGCCGCCGCGAAGUGCCGGAACGUAUUACCUGGGAGCCAAAUUUCAGAGCGUCGUUUGUCUUCCCAAGCCCACCAGCUUUCAGCGUUCUCCAGCCUCGCCACACCCCCGCCUCGGGCCGUCCCCGCCCAGACGCUUGUCCCCGCGAGAAGCUGAGCGCACUGAAGUGAGCCCGGCGGCUGCCGCCGGAGGAGGAGCCCGGCUCUGGACACGGCCGUCAGGAAGCUCAGAGGCUGCAGCACCGCUUCUGCGUUGAUUUCCGCUUGACUUUUACUCUUUUCUUGGGUUAAAAAUCAAACGCCGACCCGAGGCGUCAGAGAUGGGCGGUCGUUAGGCGCAGUGGCGGCCCCCGGAUGUUUGCGAUGGGACGGCGGGCUCGGAACGUGUGGACGUGGGCUUUGGAGACAGCGUCUCACCCUGUCGCCCAGGCUGGAGUGCAACGGCACAAUCUCGGCUCACUGCAACCUCCACCUCCAGGGUUCAAGCAAUUCCCCUGCCUCAGCUUCCCAAGUAGCUGGGAUUACAGGCACACACCACCACACCUGGCUAAUUUUUUGCAUCUUUGGUAGAGACGGGGUUUCACCAUGUUGGCCAGGCUGGUCUUGAUCUCCUGACCUCAGGUGAUCCACCAGCCUCGGCCUCCCAAAGUGCUGGGAUUACAGGUGUGAGCCACCACGCCUGGCUCCAAUUUUUUUUUUUUUUUUUUUGAGACAGAGUUUUCACUCUUGUUGCCCAGGCUGGAAUGCAGUGGCACAGUCUUGGCUCACUACAACUUCCACCUCCCAGGUUCAAGCGAUUCUCCUGCCUCAGCCUCCCAAGUAGCUGGAAUUACACACACCCACCACCACAGCUGGCUAAUUUUUUGUAUUUAGUAGAGAGAGGGUUUCACCAUGUUGGUCUGGCUGGUCUGGAAUUCCUGACCUCAGGUGAUCUGUCUGCCUUGGCCUCCCAAAGUGCUGGGAUUACAGGCGUGAGCCACUGCACCCAGCGUCCCAACAUUUUUAUCUCUGAUCAUCCUGAACACAUACCAUGUUACUCACUGUUUUAGUUCUGCGUUAUUUUUGUUGCAUAACCAGUAACAUAACAUUAUUAUUGUUAGUUUACAUAGCCAAUACUAGUUUAGGUUCACAUGUAUUACCUCUUGGCUUCACCCACUACUUUUCUCUGAUGGCAAUCUUUGGAAGUUCCUUCAUUGAGGGUUUAUUAGUGGUAAACUCUUUAUCUUUGCUGUGGUGCAGUGUCUAGAAUUUUUGUUAAGUGAAGGUUUUACAUUUAAAUCUUCAUCUAUUAAGUUUGAAUAUGGGAUGAGUUAUGGAUUGAGGUUCAUUUGUUUUGUAUAUUGACUUUCAAUUGUUGCAGCACCAUUUUUUUAAACCACUAUUUUCAUUGAUUUGCCCUUGCAACUUUGUCAAAAAUCAAUUGACCAUAUACACGAAGGUCUAUUUAUGUAUUCUCAAUUAUGGUCCAUGAUCUAUGUGUUUAUCCUUUCUCUGACACAAUGUUUAGAUUGCUGUAUCUUUACAGUAAGUUUCGAAGUCAGGGAGUGCGAGUCUUCCAGCUCUGUUCCUCUUUGACAAAAGAUGUUUUGGCUAUUCUAGUUUCUUCUGCUUUUCCAAAUAAAUUUGAUUAACUUGUUAAUGUCUACAAAAACUCCUGCUGGAAUUUCCAUUGGGAUCGCAAUAAAUUUAUAGGUAAAUCUAG
rnacentral:lncRNA from 1 species